rnacentral:rRNA from 1 species
UGGGGAAUAUUGGACAAUGGGGGCAACCCUGAUCCAGCCAUGCCGCGUGAGUGAUGAAGGCCUUCGGGUUGUAAAGCUCUUUUGGCGGGGACGAUGAUGACGGUACCAUUUAUAAGCUCCGGCUAACUACGUGCCAGCAGCCGCGGUAAUACGUAGGGAGCAAGCGUUGUUCGGAUUUACUGGGCGUAAAGGGCGCGUAGGCGGCGCGGUAAGUCACUUGUGAAAUCUCUGAGCUUAACUCAGAACGGCCAAGUGGUACUGCUGUGCUAGAGUGCGGAAGAGGCAACCGGAAUUCUUGGUGUAGCGGUGAAAUGCGUAGAUAUCAAGAGGAACACCUGAGGCGAAGGCGGGUUGCUGGGCCGACACUGACGCUGAUGCGCGAAAGCCAGGGGAGCAAACG